rnacentral:rRNA from 1 species
UACGUAGGGUGCGAGCGUUAAUCGGAAUUACUGGGCGUAAAGCGUGCGCAGGCGGCGCGUUAAGACAGGUGUGAAAGCCCCGGGCUCAACCUGGGAAUGGCAAUGGAUACUGGCAAGCUAGAGUGCGGUAGAGGGUAGUGGAAUUCCCGGUGUAGCGGUGAAAUGCGUAGAGAUCGGGAGGAACACCAGUGGCGAAGGCGGCUACCUGGACCAGCACUGACACUGAGGCACGAAAGCGUGGGGAGCAAACAGG